rnacentral:rRNA from 1 species
CCUACGGGUGGCAGCAGUGAGGAAUAUUGGUCAAUGGACGAGAGUCUGAACCAGCCAAGUAGCGUGAAGGAUGACUGCCCUAUGGGUUGUAAACUUCUUUUAUAUGGGAAUAAAACGUUCCACGUGUGGGAUUUUGUAUGUACCAUAUGAAUAAGGAUCGGCUAAUUCCGUGCCAGCAGCCGCGGUAAUACGGAGGGUCCGAGCGUUAUCCGGAUUUAUUGGGUUUAAAGGGAGCGUAGGUGGAUUGUUAAGUGAGUUGUGAAAGUUUGCGGCUCAACCGUAACAUUGCAGUGGAAACUGGCAGUAUUGAGUACAGUGGAGGUAGGCGGAAUUCGUGGUGUAGCGGUGAAAUGCUUAGAUAUCACGAAGAACUCCGAUUGCGAAGGCAGUUCACUGGAGCGCAACUGACACUGAGGCUCGAAAGUGUGGGUAUCAAACAGGAUUAGAUACCCCAGUAGUC